AAUAGUGGGUGCAGGAGUCUGAAGGAAUAAAGACGACCAGUGUUCAAUUCAGGGAGCCUCUUCAGUAAAGGGCGGGUGUUUCGUGUGUUUGUGCUCAUGCAUGCACGCACACACCUGUGUGGUACUUCUAAGGGUGUGUGUGUGAGACUGUUGCCUGCAUGUUGUUGCAAAGGAGCUGGGAGUUUGCGUCUACCGUGUACACCAUGCUCGCAGCAGGCCUCUCAAUGCUUGAUUGGUACGUGAAAAUUUUGUCUUCUUUUAAACCAAAACACAGAGGCUGCUCCCGUCUCUUAGAAUGUGCGGCAAAUUAUGCAUGGGAUCCUGAAAACUCACCCUCUAUGACGAUCAUGUAAUGGCCCUGGCCUUGGGGGUUACAGUCAAAAUCUCAUAACCAGAAGGGUCACAGGUUCUUGUCAAGGUGUCUUUGACUACCUGAUUUCCUCUUAAGUUGCUCUGCAUUAAAGCAUCUGGUGAAUGUCAAGUGUUACAUUUUAAGGGAAGAUUGAGAGGGUGUGGUUUUUCUAAAAUAGGGUUAACUUUCACCAAAAACAAAACUUUGUUGCUCUAAGAUUGUUUGUUGCAUCCACUUUUAUAGCAUCGUCCACAUCAUUGUCACCCCAUCAUCAUAUCCUCAAAUCUCUCACACCUUCUUCGUCGUCUCUCCUCAUGACUUAAGUAGAUGUUUUUUUGUUUUUUUUAAGUGAACAGUAAUACAUGGCAAUAUUAGAUGAUAGCUUUGACUUAGUCAAUAUAUAAAAAGGGGUGCUCCAAUUUAACGCUUAAAUAACAAUCUCGGUGCUUCAAAGACAUUUGGGAGACAUGCUUAAUAUAAGUAACGAGAGAUACAGUUUUGUACUCUGGGUUCUAUAGUAUUUGAUCUGUGAAUCACUUAAUGAUUGUGAAAAGUGUUGUGACCUCCAUUAUUUAUAGUGGUGGUAAAUUUGGAAGACUUUUGCAGAACUUAAACUGACCCUAGUUUUAUAGGGCCGGAGUUUGUACACUGUGAUGUGGAGCCAGGCGUCUUGGAUUAGAGUAUUCUGGGAGAAGUUAUUCAUCUCAAUAUCAAAGACAUUUGACACUUUCUUUGUUUUAAUUCACAGUCUUGUUAGAAACAAGAUUCUGAAGGUGAAGUAUUUUAAAGUGGUGUUCAGUAUAUUCAGUGCUCAAGAUGGAUGAGUGAAAAAACACCAAAUGCAAGUCAAACCAAAUCCAUUUUAUUUAGUUUAGGUAAAAUCUUAAUGCAUGUAGCUCCUUGUACACAUGUAGCAUUUGAAGGUGAGUGAUGUACGUUAUUUUAACUUGUCCUUGCCCCACAGCAAACCACAAAAAUAUUACGAAAAAUAAAUAUGAUUUUUAUUCAUUUAAAAAGCUCUGUCAGAAAGAUACAGUGCCCUACUUCAAACGUUUGCCUUCCCUCAGUCACAUUUUAUGUAUUUUCACUUCAUAAGCCUUUUGACGUCUUUUUCAGUUUCACAAAGACACUGCUUCCAAAUUAAUUUGUGAGACAUACAAUGGAAUAAUGUGUGGCUAUGUUUUCCUUUUUUAAGAUGUGUUAAGAUAUGAUUUUAGGUAAAGAUUCUCACUGGGGUGUUGCUUAAGGAUCCCCAAAACAGCUUAUUUUGUGUGCGUACAAAGAAUCCCCCAAAUGCUUUACCAAUGUGAUAUCCCAACAUUGAGUCUUUAUAUUAUAAUUGCAAACGCAUGUUUGGUUUGGCUGCAAGUACACCACAUCUGAUCAACAGUACCAGAGUUAAAGAAGAAAAUGAAUCCAGUUUAUCUCUAUGAAAUAAAAACACCAGGUAGUGUAGUCGCUCAUUUUGGAGUGUCCUUUUGAAUAAAUUAAUUACACGCUGAAAGGACAGGCUGGUUACUGAGCAAUAUUAGAUUCUGGUGUUGUUAGUCUGACAAAGCACAACACUUUUAAAAAUAAAAAUCUCUCCAAUUUUUUCUUUUCCUGCAGCAUGUGGGGCAUGCAGUCCUGGUUGUUAGUAACUCUAGGCUCUUAGUUUCCACAUGCACUGUGAGGCGGUCUUUGGUGUUUGUCAUUAGCCUUCAGGUAGCCUUAUUUCCACCCUCAGGCAUCAGGUAUCCUUUUUUAGCAACUUGAUGCCAGCAGAGAGGAUCGACCACGUGGGCUUUAUGGUCAAAUGAAUACUCUGGACUCUGGUCAGUCCUUCUUGACCUUGCCGUGGAGAAGUAACCAGACCAAGAGGAGUUUGAUAAGUUCUUUAGAAGAAACUGCACCAGUGUGGAAAAGCUGUAAGAUUUUAGCUGAUGACACAAAGCCUGUUUCAAUAGGUUAUUGUGACUUCAUCUGUGAUAGCAACUACUGACACAAAAUCAGUGUAAUAUAAUGAAUGUAUCAUGAUGAAAGGUUGAUUGGUAAAGUUGCCUAUUUACAUUUUUGCCUCAGAUUGUUACCCCUGAUGCAGAGUGUUGUUUUAAUCUUGUUCUGGGUCGACCACAUAUUAAAAUCCCGGGGACAUGGUAGUUAAGCAAAUAUGUAAAUAUCAUAAUUCACUGCUUAUUUUUGUUGUUGUUCUCCAGAAUUUUCCAUGUAUGACUAAACCACUGUCACUCUCCUGUAUAUGAAAACAAGUUGUAAAUGGUGUCAAUAACAAAUUUUCUUUUGUAAAAGAAAGGUUUUAAUAAGAGGUUUAUGGUAACACUAUAUUUUCUUUUCCCUGGUUAAUUUCUGAUGUACAUGAAAGAUGUGUAAUAUAGAAAUUGUCACCUUAAUAAAUUAAAUUAAAAAUGUGUGUUUUUGAUGAAUUCAACUUCAUUGAUGAAGUCAAUUAAAUUUUUAUUUUGUAUAGCCCAAAAUCACAGCCUCAGGGCUAUACAGUCUCCAAAAAAGCAAAAUGGAUGAAACCAGAGUCACAGGAUGGAAAGACAUGCCCUAGAUCAACAACAUCACAUUAUGUGCUAAGUUUGAUAACAACAUUUUUAUAAAAGAUUACAAAAUGUAUGUGAAGAAUAUGGCUCCAGGAAGAAUUGAAUUGAAUAACUUGGUGUCACCAAGUCCGACCUGAGCCAUAUGACACCUCCACCACGGAGACCUGGAAGGGGACAGGUCACAAAGAAAGAAAGAAUGUGAGCCAGAAGACAACGUAAAAUGUAAAUAUUGGAAUUAAUUAAUUUCUUCAUUUAUUUCUGUAAAAGUGUGAAUGAGGCAGGUGCGGCUGUAAAGCACGACGGGUAAUAGUCUAUUGAGCUCUAUUACUUUACUUGUACAGUGAUUGGUGUAUGAACCUGUAUUUUCCACACUAGACAGGUCCUUUAAAUGACAUUUUAUAAUACAUAUUCCAAUAAUUGUGUCCACACAAUUAUUAAUAAUAAAACAAUAUUUACUUA
rnacentral:lncRNA from 15 species